AGUAACACGUGGAUAACCUACCUAUAAGACUGGGAUAACUUCGGGAAACCGGAGCUAAUACCGGAUAAUAUUUUGAACCGCAUGGUUCAAAAGUGAAAGACGGUCUUGCUGUCACUUAUAGAUGGAUCCGCGCUGCAUUAGCUAGUUGGUAAGGUAACGGCUUACCAAGGCAACGAUGCAUAGCCGACCUGAGAGGGUGAUCGGCAACACUGGAACUGAGACACGGUCCAGACUCCUACGGGAGGCAGCAGCA
rnacentral:rRNA from 1 species